ensembl:lncRNA
GAAACAAAUCCUGGCCGGCCUCACAUAUGCUUAAUCGGGGAAGUCUGCGCCCGGCUCUGCCCACCCUGUGCUGCCUCUCCUGGCGCGGCUGGAGCGCCCGGCUCGGGGCAGCUGCCGCCCAGCCUGCCCGCCUCUCAGCAGCUGGGCGGGAGCGCCUGGGCUGCUCUGGACACUCCUCUGACCGGGGCUCGGCGCCUUCAGUCGCAUUUACAGCCCGGGGAGGAAGCUGGGGUAAAGUUCAGAAGCAGUUUGCAGGGAGUUUUAGGCAAUAUCCUGCAACUCUUUCACAGGCCCUGAGCUGGGCGCUCCUCUCCCACAGGCUCGGUAAAGGGUCAAGCUUCAGAAACAGGAUUCUCCCCUUCUCCCUCGAGGGGGAAGGAGCUGGAGGCGAGCUGAGCGCCCCGGGGCAGUCUGCCAGCCAGCGAUAGGAGGGGGCUCGCCUCAACAGUCCCGGCCUUUUAUCUCCCGCUGACCUGCCCGUGCAGCAACACGAAGCCAGUGCCGGGCUUCCUGCAGCUUGCCGAGAGGGGCUGUUUGACUCGUUCAAACUAAACGAAGGGCCUCUCUUCAUCCAAGUCCAGAAAGCCCAGGAGUCAGCUACAGUAGCUCCAGUUAAUGUCUGCGUUUACACUGCUAUUAUUAAAAUAAUUCAGGAGCAUUUAAUAACAUCCCUUGAUCACGGGAACGCAGGCAGCACACCACGUGCUCCCC